rnacentral:rRNA from 1 species
UACGUAGGGUGCGAGCGUUGCCCGGAUUUAUUGGGCGUAAAGAGCUCGUAGGCGGCUUGUCGCGUCGUCCGUGAAAACCUGCGGCUCAACUGCAGGCUGGCGGUCGAUACGGGCAGGCUGGAGUUCGGUAGGGGAGACUGGAAUUCCUGGUGUAGCGGUGAAAUGCGCAGAUAUCAGGAGGAACACCAAUGGCGAAGGCAGCUCGCUGGGACGACACUGACGCUGAGACGCGAAAGCGUGGGGAGCAAACAGG